UUCACGGACUGUUCAUUCCGAACUCUCCUGGCCUGAGACCUGGAACCUCAUCCCUGAUUCGCUCCCCUCGAAUUCCUUACUGUCCACUUCUGGCUCCCCUAGUCCCAGUGCAAGGUGGGCACCCCGGCCCCUUCCCAGCAGUCCGCUCCGGAGCUCUGCUUUCUGAAUCAACCAAGAGCCACAAAACUUUCCUGCUUCUCUCCUCCGCGGUCUCCCGGUUCUUGCUGCAACUUCGCACUCCGCACUUUUGGCAACCAGAAGAGACCCUGGCAUCUCCAAAGCGCUUUAUCUCAGUCCAUUGGAGCCAGUUGUGCUGACCGGUUCGCACCUCGGCUAACGCACACCCGCGGGGCGGUGGCCAUCCCUUCCCCUCCCACCCCUGUCGGCUCCCAGCCUCUCGGAGAGCCUCGGAGAGCCUCCACCCUCCCAGCGGCGAAGCCAAGCGGCCGCGGCGCGCAGGCGGUACUCAUACUCACGCAGCAAACUCAGCAAGCAGAGCGCGGUCCAGCCCCGCGGCAUCCCGGGCCCCGCGCGCGCGCCCCUGCGGACCAGCAUCCUUCUCGUGCCGCUCCCAGAGAGACGCACCAAGUGGAAGACGCUGCUUGGCGUGGCCAGGACGCGCUCCUCCUGCCCCCUCCGCCCUGGAGAGGGGUGGGGGAUUCUUGCUUUUUCCCUCUCUUCUCCCCUCCCUCUUUAGUCUUGGCAAGGCAGCCCCUCUCCUUGGCUGCUACUAACUUGAGCUCCCCUGGUUAGUCCCAAAGGCGGAGGGCGUUAGGAAGGAGGCUGGGUUGCCGCCGUCGAGGCCAAAAAAGGUGGAGGUUUGUUCAGGCUCCAGAUGCCUCGUUCAGCUUUUCGAAGAGGCCCCAUCCCACUUCUUCAAGCUCCACUUCCACUUAACUUUUAACCCCUUUGUGGCAGCCUUGCCGGUGGCCAGGGCAGGGGCAAGUUUCCUGUGAUUUUUCCCCCUUUUCUUUCCUUUUGGUUUUCCUUUAUUUGAAAGCUGUAAGCCAGUAACCAUCUUGCAAAAGGAAUCUACUGUGAGGACCUCAGUUUGGAUGUAUGAGCAUUUCGUUAAUCAGGUAAAACUUGACCACCGUGUGACCACCGGAUCUGUGCUGUGUGUGAGUGAAGCAGCAGGAGUGAGUAGCGCACAUACAUGACUAUUAAGUAUUCAUUUUAGUUACCCAAACCACUCGUGUAGACUUUUUCUUUCACUUUUUUUUUCUGCAAGAUCUUUUUGUGUUAACUUUUUGUUAACUUGUGUUAACUUUUCCUAUGACCUUCCGUAGUUCUCCACUUAGUUCCCCAUCACCAUCAUCCUAAAGAAAAAGGACUUCCCUGGGAGCUUCUCCCCAGUUAUCCCCUCUCCAGACCUGGGUCUAAACCACUAGGGCUUUCACCUUGCUCUCCCAUCAGAAAAAAGACUUUCUGUGACUCUAUCCUCCACCACAUGAUAGAUGCUUGAGCUUCCUGUUCCUCACCGGUUCUUCUGAGUGUUGGUGAACUGAACGGCAGAAACUCUUAGCAGAGUAGGCAGCCUAGUCUUGAAAUGGGGUUGUAAAGACUGGAGAAGAGAGAAGCCAGGCUGAGCAGAUGAUGGCACCAGGCGGGGAAUCAGACAAGGCAUAACCUGGGAGAGGCUGUUCUGAUAUCCAGAGUGGAAUCAUGGAAUUAUACUCAGUUCAGCCUCUUCCGUGAAUUCUGUGCCACAUAGCCUAAAGGGAAGAAAAGGAAGCCAGACCAGCACUCUGUGGUCCUCUCUGAUUUCUCUUAGCAUUAUAAAAGUAGUUUUAUCUUUAUGGUCUGUCUCAAACCUACUAUGCACUGGGUUGCACAGGAGAAGGAUCCAGGUCUAAAAACAAAACCAAAAUGUUAUUCUGGUCUUGUUGCCCAGCAUUCUUUUAAACAGGGAACAAAGUAUUUCAUCACACAAUCAGAGCAAAAGCCUGAUAUGCAAAUUUGAUUGAAGACAAUAGUGCGGUAUGAAUCUGUUUCAAAGUGCAAAUGAUGAUUCAGAACUGAUCACAUAGUGAUGGCAAGGGCCUGGGGACAGAGAGUGGCAAAAAUGCAUUUUAAAAUUAGGCAUUGGUCCUUGGGACUCCCAGUUAACAGGGAAAAGGAGUUAGUUCCAACAUUGCCGGGCCCCCUGCUCCCCUCAACUUCCUCAGCUCCAGAGGUUGGGUCUGCUGCAGACACCCAGUGUGCGGUUGUGAAAAAACGUGGGGUUGUAAUUCAUGCUAGAUGUAAAAGCUAAUUUUGUCCACUUUAACUUCCAUUUCUAGAUUUUUUUUUUUCCUGGUUACUUUAAAUACCAUUUGUCUCCUGUAGCUGGACCAUGGGAAAGAGGGGAAAGAACUUGUCUUUCUUUAGUACCUGAUCUUAACUAGCUUUGGGAGCAGAGAGAGAAUGAUUCUAUGGAGCAGAGUUUUCUCAAAGCACGAUCUACAGAGAACCAAAGUUUGGCAGAGAGGAAUCUUUGGUGGUAGAAGUGUUCAGACACUGGACCGACGCAGUGGCAGCC